GUGUCAGCCGCCGCGGUAAUACGGAGGGUGCGAGCGUUGUUCGGAUUUAUUGGGCGUAAAGCGCGUGUAGGCGGUCUUUUAAGUCUGAUGUGAAAGCCCCGGGCUCAACCUGGGAAGUGCAUUGGAUACUGGGAGACUUGAAUACGGGAGAGGGUAGUGGAAUUCCUAGUGUAGGAGUGAAAUCCGUAGAUAUUAGGAGGAACACCGGUGGCGAAGGCGGCUACCUGGACCGAUAUUGACGCUGAGACGCGAAAGCGUGGGGAGCAAACAGGAUUAGAUACCCCGGUAGUCC
rnacentral:rRNA from 1 species